GAUGAACGCUGGCGGCGUGCCUAAUACAUGCAAGUCGAGCGAACGGACGAGAAGCUUGCUUCUCUGAUGUUAGCGGCGGACGGGUGAGUAACACGUGGAUAACCUACCUAUAAGACUGGGAUAACUUCGGGAAACCGGAGCUAAUACCGGAUAAUAUUUUGAACCGCAUGGUUCAAAAGUGAAAGACGGUCUUGCUGUCACUUAUAGAUGGAUCCGCGCUGCAUUAGCUAGUUGGUAAGGUAACGGCUUACCAAGGCAACGAUGCAUAGCCGACCUGAGAGGGUGAUCGGCCACACUGGAACUGGAACACGGUCCAGACUCCUACGGGAGGCAGCAGUAGGGAAUCUUCCGCAGUGGGCGAAAGCCUGACGGAGCAACGGCGCGUGAGUGAUGAAGGUCUUCGGAUCGUAAAACUCGGUUAUUAGGGAAGAACAUAUGUGUAAGGAACUGUGCACAUCUUGACGGUACCUAAUCAGAAAGCCACGGCUAACUACGUG
rnacentral:rRNA from 1 species